rnacentral:misc_RNA from 1 species
CUUGGCGGCAAGCUGCGGCAGAUAGACGACAUAGACCGUCCAGCCCAGGGUGAAGAACAGUUGAAGCAGCGCGAGAUAGACGCCGACCUUGCCGUUGCCGCCGGCGAUGGCGCCCUCNNNNNNNNNNNUCGUCUUGACCACGCUCAUAUCUACCCGACCCCAACACCCAUCGAACAAUAAGACCGGCCCAAGCGCCGUCGCAAGCGGCGGCGGCCGGCCCCCCUUGGUUGGACGGCCAAACUGCGAAGCCGGGUCAAACGCCGAAUUGCCUCGUUGCGCCAAGGCAUUGCUCAGCGAAUGAGGUUUUGGUGGAAAGUUUGGCCGUUCGCGGGACUCAACCUGAAC